UUUCAAUAGCAUGCAACCCCCAACCAGUGGAUUAAGCUCCUGUGCCAGGCGUAUUUUUGCCUGUCCUAUUGGGCCAGUCAAUGAUUCCUCCAGCUUGACGAAAUAAAUAUGACUCUUAAUCUCUCUUUUGUCUUUGUCCAUCGGCAUAAAAACAACCAACCAGCUCUGCGUUUAACUGUCACACUUUCUUUGGUUAGUUGAGCGUGCCGCCGGUGUGGCCCUCAUGCGGAGUAAAUUGCCUACUUGGUGUCGGGUGGCCGAGAGAGGCGAGAAUAUGGAAUACUUGGCUGCUAAACCCGGAAUGGACGGUUGGCGAGCUAUUUAUCCGUAUUUAUCCGGCCCUGAAACGAGAUAGCAUCAUAGGCAUUUUCCGGUUCCCGGUUCAACCGUGCUACAAGUCUUCCAGAUGAUCAAACUCCUUGGAGCUGCCGGGAGCUGCCACUAACAGCACGGAAGCGGCUAAGUCCUGAAACGGGAUCCCACCUCUUUCGCCCUUUAUUAUUGCCUGCUGCUCUAAAUGGAAUUGAAUCCGCCGCCGUGGAACACUGUCGACAUUAUCGUGCACAGUCAGGGCGUCAUCGACGUUCUCCUGGACAAGCACGACUUCUCGAUGAGUUUCUUUGACGGCAAAGAUAAGAUCACUGUCGAUCAGAUGCCCCUUUUCUCGCCCAUACCUUACGACGUCAAGAAGCGGCUCAUAUGGAUCAAGGUGCAGCUGACGUGGCUACUGAACGCAAGGCAUCAUUCAUUCACUAUAUCUAAUUACUAGUAAUCUUGUGCCAGUUGUAAGCUAACGUAACGGAAACAUAAGAAUUUGGUGCAUGAAUCAUUCCCCAAGGCCACGUGGAUUCGUGUUUUUCGUAAGCAAUUUGGACUUUUACUUUUCCCGUCGUUCCAAAUUACUUCGAAAAUAAACCUAAAACUUAUCCUAG